UACGUAGGUGGCGAGCGUUGUCCGGAUUUACUGGGCGUAAAGAGCGCGCAGGCGGUCGUUCAAGUCGCGUGUGAAAGCCCCCGGCUCAACUGGGGAGGGUCACGCGAUACUGCUCGACUCGAAGGCAGGAGAGGGAAGUGGAAUUCCCGGUGUAGUGGUGAAAUGCGUAGAUAUCGGGAGGAACACCAGUGGCGAAGGCGACUUCCUGGCCUGUUCUUGACGCUGAGGCGCGAAAGCCAGGGGAGCAAACGGG
rnacentral:rRNA from 1 species